rnacentral:rRNA from 1 species
UACGUAGGGUGCGAGCGUUGUCCGGAAUUACUGGGCGUAAAGAGCUCGUAGGUGGUUUGUCGCGUUGUCCGUGAAAACUCACAACUCAAUUGUGGGCGUGCGGGCGAUACGGGCAGACUGGAGUACUGCAGGGGGAGACUGGAAUUCCUGGUGUAGCGGUGGAAUGCGCAGAUAUCAGGAGGAACACCGGUGGCGAAGGCGGGUCUCUGGGCAGUAACUGACGCUGAGGAGCGAAAAGCGUGGGGGAGCGAACAGG